rnacentral:rRNA from 1 species
ACCUGACUGCUAUCGGAUUGAUACUAAGCCAUGCGAGUCAUUGUAGCAAUACAAGGCAUACGGCUCAGUAACGCGUAGUCAACCUAACCUAUGGACGGGAAUAACCUCGGGAAACUGAGAAUAAUGCCCGAUAGAACAUUAUGCCUGGAAUGGUUUAUGUUCCAAAUGAUUUAUCGCCAUAGGAUGGGACUGCGGCCUAUCAGUUUGUUGGUGAGGCAAUGGCCCACCAAGACUAUUACAGGUACGGGCUCUGAGAGGAGUAGCCCGGAGAUGGGUACUGAGACACGGACCCAGGCCCUAUGGGGCGCAGCAGGCGAGAAAACUUUGCAAUGUGCGAAAGCACGACAAGGUUAAUCCGAGUGAUUUCUGCUAAAGAGAUCUUUUGUUAGUCCUAGAAACACUAACGAAUAAGGGGUGGGCAAGUUCUGGUGUCAGCCGCCGCGGUAAAACCAGCACCUCAAGUGGUCAGGAUGAUUAUUGGGCCUAAAGCAUCCGUAGCCGGCUCUGUAAGUUUUCGGUUAAAUCUGUACGCUCAACGUACAGGCUGCCGGGAAUACUGCAGAACUAGGGAGUGGGAGAGGUAGACGGUACUCGGUAGGAAGUGGUAAAAUGCUUUGAUCUAUCGAUGACCACCUGUGGCGAAGGCGGUCUACCAGAACACGUCCGACGGUGAGGGAUGAAAGCUGGGGGAGCAAACCGGAUUAGAUACCCGGGUAGUCCCAGCUGUAAACUAUGCAAACUCAGUGAUGCAUUGGCUUGUGGCCAAUGCAGUGCUGCAGGGAAGCCGUUAAGUUUGCCGCCUGGGAAGUACGUACGCAAGUAUGAAACUUAAAGGAAUUGGCGGGGGAGCACCACAAGGGGUGAAGCCUGCGGUUC